UUCCCCAUAUCUCCCAUCUGUUACUCCUCUCUUACCCUCCGCGUAAAGCCGCCGCUGGAGAUCGCCCUAUGGCGGCGGCACACAUCAAAUGACCCUAAUUUAACACCAUACAAUCCCCAUCCGCCCCUCUUUCCAAAUCCCUUACCCGUUUUACCUAAAUCUGUCUCAAACGCUAUCUCUAGUAGAUCUAAGAUUUUACCAAGAACAAAUCUGCCCCCUUUUCGAUUUUCGCGGUAAUUUCAACUCGUUUUGACCAAGAACCUACGUCGAUCGAUUGUUCUUAACAAGAACAAUUGAUUGACGUUGGUUUUUGUUCAUUCCGAAACCGCUGGAUCUUGGUCAAUCCACCUUUGACCGGCCAGAAUUCUCUCUGCCUCGUUUGCUCGCCGGAGUUCUAUGUGCUGACCGGAAUUCUUUGAAUGUAUUGGUAUAAGGAGUCAUAUUUAAGGAUUACUCUGUUUUCUUGAAGCCAUCAAAGGGAGUGUAGGUGGGCUAAUUGAAUGAAUUUUACGGUUAAAGUUGUAGUCUAUGUGAUUCAUUAUGAUAAAGAUUUGUGUAUAAUUUUAUGUUAACAUUACUGAUUUGAAGCCGAUUUUAUUGUCAUUUGAUUAAACGUUUAUUCUGUUUGGA